rnacentral:rRNA from 1 species
GAGUUUGAUCCUGGCUCAGGAUGAACGCUGGCGGCGUGCCUAAUACAUGCAAGUCGAGCGAACCACUUCGGUGGUGAGCGGCGAACGGGUGAGUAACACGUAGGUGAUCUGCCCAUCAGACGGGGACAACGAUUGGAAACGAUCGCUAAUACCGGAUAGGACGAAAGUUUAAAGGUGCUUCUGGCACCGCUGAUGGAUGAGCCUGCGGCGCAUUAGCUAGUUGGUAGGGUAAAGGCCUACCAAGGCGACGAUGCGUAGCCGACCUGAGAGGGUGAACGGCCACACUGGGACUGAGACACGGCCCAGACUCCUACGGGAGGCAGCAGUAGGGAAUCUUCGGCAAUGGGCGAAAGCCUGACCGAGCAACGCCGCGUGAAUGAUGAAGGCCUUCGGGUUGUAAAAUUCUGUUAUAAGGGAAGAACGACUUUAGUAGGAAAUGGCUAGAGUGUGACGGUACCUUAUGAGAAAGCCACGGCUAACUACGUGCCAGCAGCCGCGGUAAUACGUAGGUGGCGAGCGUUAUCCGGAAUUAUUGGGCGUAAAGAGCGCGCAGGUGGUUGAUUAAGUCUGAUGUGAAAACCCACGGCUUAACCGUGGAGGGUCAUU